rnacentral:sRNA from 1 species
UUCUUCUUUUUGUGUUUUUUU